CCUCUCUAUCCCCACCAUGUUAAGCAUAUGUGAGCCCAACUGUUUCUCAUUAAUUUAAAUGGCAUGGUAGCACAGCUGGCCAUGGUAUAGAGUGCUAGCUCAAAGAAGUACAAGAUUUGGGAAGAGCACCUUUAUUGAGAUAACUUUAGUACGACUGGUAAAGCUGUGCUAACUUUUCUACCGGUUGUAACUCAGGCCCCGGAGCUGUGCGUUGGCACGGGAAGGAUUUUUCCUACCCUGAGAGAAAAGCCUUGAGUGGGCUCCGCAGAUGGCUUUCCUGGGGCCUAGGUGCUCCUGACUCCUCCAGAAAACAGCAGCUGCAAAGCAUUCCUCUGCUCAUCUCCAUCUCAGCCUGGAUAUUCACAGCUUCCUAACGGUUACUUCAUUUGCUGUACCACUUAAGCUAUCGCUCCCAUGGGUAGAGACAAGAAGAGAGUCAACAGCAAAGCUUGUUGAUGGAGUUUUCAAGAUGGUGUUCACCUUAGCCUGGUCUUUCAGAGGUACCUGCUCAUCAAAGAAGGUAUCUGCACAAAUCUGUAACCACUUUCUUGUGAUCCUGUUUGCUUCAGUUGUGUUCAGUCAUCCAGUCCUUCCCUGCUACACUUGCAAGAGGAAGCGGGCAAAACAUGAAUGAAAAAGUCCCACUGGGCUGUUGAAGACUGGAACACCUGCAAAAAUUUGCAGCAAUAACCCCAGGGCACUUAGGACUUUGCAGAAAGAAGAGGAAGGAAGAAGCAUGGAGGCUGAGAGCAGGGAUUACAACAUCUGACCGAGGAGGAGACUUAAGAUGUGUGUAGGUGAGAAAGCAAGCUCUGAAAGCCAAAUCAUUUGCAGAAAAGGCAAGUUGUCUUUUGUCUCAUGGUCUGGAAACAGUCGGGAAGUGGUUGAGUGCAACCUUCAGUCUACCUGCACUGGUGAGGGCCU